UACGUAGGGUGCAAGCGUUAAUCGGAAUUACUGGGCGUAAAGCGUGCGCAGGCGGUUUUGUAAGUCUGACGUGAAAUCCCCAGGCUCAACCUGGGAACUGCGUCUGAUACUGGAUGGCUUGAAUCCGGGAGAGGGAUGCAGAAUUCUAGGUGUAGCGGUGAAAUGCGUAGAUAUCUGGAGGAAUACCGGUGGCGAAGGCGGCAUCCUGGACCGGCAUUGACGCUGAGGAGCGAAAGCCAGGGGAGCAAACGGG
rnacentral:rRNA from 1 species